CCACUUUAUGAGGAUGAACUCAUCUCAUAUAUACUCGCAGGGCUUGACGAGAACUACAAUCCUAUUGUGUCGUCCCUGGAUGCUCGUACGGAGGCAACCACCCUCGACGAUCUGUUCACGCAAACGAAUUUUGACC